rnacentral:rRNA from 1 species
AGCAGCCGCGGUAAUUCCAGCUCCAAUAGCGUAUAUUAAAGUUGUUGCAGUUAAAAAGCUCGUAGUUGAAUUUCGGGGUCAGUAGGUUGGUCGUGCCACCGGUACGUACUGGUCUCACUGAUUCCUCCUUCCUGAUGAGCUGUAAUGCCAUUAAUUUGGUGUUGCAGGGAAUCUGGACUGUUACUUUGAAAAAUUAGAGUGUUUAAAGCAGGCUAACGCUUGAAUGCAUUAGCAUGGAAUAAUGAAAUAGGACGUUCGAUCCUAUUUUGUUGGUUUCUAGGAUUGACGUAAUGAUUAAUAGGGAUAGUUGGGGGCAUUAGUAUUCAAUUGUCAGAGGUGAAAUUCUUGGAUUUAUUGAAGACUAACUACUGCGAAAGCAUUUGCCAAGGAUGUUUUCAUUAAUCAAGAACGAAAGUUAGGGGAUCGAAGACGAUCAGAUACCGUCGUAGU